rnacentral:sRNA from 1 species
GGAAGAUAAGCAUCAAGACACGGAGCUUUUGUACAGAGAGAGAUAAAACCAGGGAGUAGGCCAACAGUUCCUAAAGGAACAGAGAAGAGAGGCCCUGUUCGACAUGAGUGACAGCUUUGGAAUCAAACAAACUAGAGUUGGAAUGUUGGCUUCACUUCAUUCCUUGAGCUGUGUGACCUUGGAUGAAACCUUGAGAAAAGGAGCCAAGACUAUAAUAGUGGUCCUGUGCCACAAUGCAGGAAGAGAAGGAACAGAGAGGUCACUGGCAUUUUUUUUUUAGGUGGUUUCAUGCCAUCUUAUUUUCUCCUUGAAAUAUUUUCACAUUUUGCGUUGAAGUGAAUGAAGCUCUAGAAAGCCAAAGGACAGAAGGAGCCAGGACCUCGGAGUCAUUUGGAGGAGUGCUACCCUAGAAAGCCACCCCUAUCUUGUUAAACCACAAAUUUGGGACUUGUUUGCUAUAGUAGAUAGUGCUACUAAUUCUAUGUAAUAUACUGUCAUUUUUACUUCUCAUAGCAUUUAUUGUUCUCUACCAUAUAUAAUUAUUUGCAUAAAUAUAUUUUUUCAUUUUAGUCUAUUAGUUGCUUUAAAAAAAAAACUACAUUGCCAUGGUUUGACUGUGUCC